rnacentral:rRNA from 1 species
AAUGAACGCUGGCGGCAUGCCUAACACAUGCAAGUCGAGCGAAAGCACGGGAAGCUUGCUCUCCUGAUGUUGUCGGCGGACGGAUGAGUAACACAUGGAUAACCUACCUCUAAGACUGGGGUAACAUCGGGAGACAGGAUCUAAUACCGGAUAAUAUAUUGAACUGGAAGGUUCAAAAGUGAAAGAAGCUCUUGCUGACACUUAUAGACGAAUCCGCGCUUCAUUAGUUAGUUGGUAAAGUAGCGGCUUACCAACGCUACGAUGCAUAGCCGACCUGAGAGGGUGAUCGGCUACACUGGAACUGAGACACGGUACCGACUCCUACGGGGGGCAGCAGUAGGGAAUCUUCCGCAAUGGGCGAAAGCCUGAUGUAGCAACACCGCGUGAGUGAUGAAGGUCUUCUGCUGGUAAAGCGCUGUUAUUAGGAAAGAAGAAAAGUUUAUUUAACUGGGAUCAUCUUGACGGUACCGAAAGAAUAAGCUACGGCUAACUCCGUG